rnacentral:rRNA from 1 species
GACGAACGCUGGCGGCGUGCUUAACACAUGCAAGUCGAACGGAAAGGCCCUGCUUUUGUGGGGUGCUCGAGUGGCGAACGGGUGAGUAACACGUGAGUAACCUGCCCUUGACUUUGGGAUAACUUCAGGAAACUGGGGCUAAUACCGGAUAGGAGCUCCUGCUGCAUGGUGGGGGUUGGAAAGUUUCGGCGGUUGGGGAUGGACUCGCGGCUUAUCAGCUUGUUGGUGGGGUAGUGGCUUACCAAGGCUUUGACGGGUAGCCGGCCUGAGAGCGUGACCGGCCACAUUAGGACUGCGAUACGGCCCAGAGUCCUACGGGAGGCAGCAGUGGGGAGUAUUGCACAAUGGGCGGAAGCCUGAUGCGGCAGCGCCGCGUGCGGGAUGACGGCCUUCGGGUUGUGAACCGCUUUCGCCUGUGACGAAGCGUGAGUGACGGUAAUGGGUAAAGAAGCACCGGCUAACUACGUG